AAAGAUGUUUUGACGAUUUAUUUUCAAAUUACCAACAGAACAUACUAAUAUGCUCUUUAAAUUCAGUAACAUGUAUACUCGAAGACGCAAUAAAUGCAUCAGAGGGGCUUUACGCAAUAGCAAUUUACUUUUUAGUAAUACAAUGGAGUAGAAAUGGGCUAUAACAAGUAUUUAAAUACGAAACUUAGUCCGUACACGAGAAGAACCU